GGUAUACACCUUCUCCACGCUUUCCUAGGUCUACCAACUGGUCUCCUUCCUUCUACCUCUAAUCUCUCCACAACUGCCAGCACUCCCCUGCUCUCUUUACAUGUCCAAACCAUCAGAGUCUUUCCCUUCUGAGCACUGUUUCCAGGUCCUCUACUAAAACUCCCAGCACUGUAUCCUCCCCUGCUCUCUUUACAUGUCCAAACCAUCAGAGUCUUUCCCUUCUGAGCACUGUUUCCAGGUCCUCUACUAAAACUCCCAGCACUGUAUCCUCCCCUGCUCUCUUCACAUGUCCAAACCAUCAGAGUCUUUCCCUUCUGAGCACUGUUUCCAGGUCCUCUACUAAAACUCCCAGCACUGUAUCCUCCCCUGCUCUCUUCACAUGU